UGGAAGUUCUACUAAAUCCUGUGUUUCAUAGGAUACCUUGGAAUCAAACUACACCUCUAAGGUUCAGUUAGAAUUGCCCGGUUAUAUUGAUUUCAUACGGAACAUAAUUGGAUUUGUCACAGCUUCCAUGUUUGUUCCUUUUGAACUCAUAAAUUAUCCACGACCAACCUUAAUAUUGUAUUGAAAGACCGAAGUCAUGCGUUGCAUGCAUUUGUGAUUUGGGCUGGUAUUAUUACCCACUUUUUUGGACAAUUUUUUUAGUACGCAAUAAUUUCACUAGAUAGCUUAUGCAGAUAUACACUGGAUCUGAAGCGUUCAUUUCUCACAUUGGGCCUAAAUAGGCUUGAAGAGAAAGGCAAGCGAUGGUGCUAGUCACAGUGUAACUCUCGGUGUGACACCAUCAUCUUUAACACCUACAGUCGAGAGGGUUUAUGUUGAUGAUGAGGGUGGUACACAAGGAUAGGGGCAGUAGGGUGAUGUUGUUCAUAUUGAUGAUGACGAGACUGAGACUACUACAAAGAGGUUAAAGAAGUGUACAUCUGAUAUCUGGCUAUACUUUACCAAGAAAAUUGAGAUAGUAGAGGUGAAUGGGAAGAAUUAUGAGCAGUUAUGGGGGUAUUGUAACUUCCCAAAAUGUAGGACCAAAUAUAGAGUUGAGAGCAAUUAUGGAACAACUGGAUUUCAGAACCAUCUGAAGUCAGCACAUAGUAUAAUAAAAGGACAAUUGCAACUCAAAGCUGGAAAGGAUCAUGGAAAAGACACUAGUGUUGUUGAGCCCUACAGGUAUGAUCAAGAAGCUAGUGUCAAGAAGUUGUAUUUGGCAAUACUCAUGCAUGAGUACCCUUUUAAUAUUGUUGAGCAUGAUUACUUUGUUGAUUUAUUAAAUCCUUGCGCCGUAGCUUUCUAA